GCUAGAAACGAUGUUGCAAAUCUGUAGUACUUGCAGCCAGGGAGGUGGGGCUGGUGGAUUGCUUGAGUUUAGGAGUUCUGAACUGCAGUAAGACAAAGUCGUUUGAGUGUCUGAACUAAGUCUGGCACCAAUAUGGUGAACCUCUGGAACCAGAAGCCACCAAGCUGCCUAAGGAAAGGUGAACCAGCCCAGGUCAGAAAUGGAACAGGUCAACAUUUCCAGGCUGAUCAGCAGUGGAAUCAGGCCUAUUUGCUGCUGCACUUCCAGCCUGUGUAAGAUGGAGGUAGG
rnacentral:SRP_RNA from 1 species